UACAGAGGUCUCAAGCGUUGUUCGGAUUCAUUGGGCGUAAAGGGUGUGUAGGUGGCGCGCUAAGUCGGGUGUGAAAUUUCGGAGCUUAACUCCGAAACUGCAUUCGAUACUGGCCGUGCUUGAGGACUGGAGAGGAGACUGGAAUUAUCGGUGUAGCAGUGAAAUGCGUAGAGUAUCAUGAGGAAGACCAGUGGCGAAGGCGGGUCUCUGGACAGUUCCUGACGCUGAGACAGAAGGCCAGGGGAGCAAACGGG
rnacentral:rRNA from 1 species